rnacentral:tRNA from 1 species
UCACUCAGUAGCUAAAUGGAUAACGCGAUGGCGUUUGAAGUGAACGGUCCUGGGUUCGGGUCCCAGAGUGA